GAUAAACGCUAGCGGCAGGCUUAAUACAUGCAAGUCGAGGGGGCAGCAAUGUCACCGGCGGACGGGUGCGUAACGCGUAUGAAACCUACCUUUAUCAGGGGGAUAGCCCGGGGAAACCCGGAUUAAUACCGCAUAAUAUAAGGAACGGCAUCGUUUUUUAUUGAAAGAUUUAUUGGAUAGAGAUGGUCAUGCGUAGGAUU
rnacentral:rRNA from 1 species